rnacentral:rRNA from 1 species
UACGUAGGGUGCAAGCGUUAAUCGGAAUCACUGGGCGUAAAGGGCGCGUAGGCGGGAUGGCAAGUCAGUCGUGAAAUCUCUCGGCUCAACCGAGAAACGUCGGCUGAUACUGCCGUUCUUGAGGGAUGCAGAGGAGACUGGAAUUCCCGGUGUAGCGGUGAAAUGUGUAGAGAUCGGGAGGAACACCGGUGGCGAAAGCG